ACCUCGUGUGCGCGCGUGUGUGUGCGCGCUCUGAGAAAAGCAGCUCAUCAUCUCAGAGGGACCGCAGAGAGAGAGAAAGAGAGAGAGAGAGAAAGAGAGAGAUCCAGAAUAAUAAAUGCUGAAAUAAAGCAGCCGGAACCGCAGUUUCUCCGGUGCAGCUCGAGCAGACCCGGUGUGUCGCGAUGGGGAACCGGGGGAUGGAGGACCUGAUCCCGCUGGUCAACCGAAUGCAGGAUGCGUUCGCCGCCAUCGGACAGAACGCGAACCUGGACCUGCCGCAGAUCGCGGUGGUGGGCGGACAGAGCGCCGGGAAAAGCUCCGUGCUCGAGAACUUCGUGGGGAAGGACUUCCUGCCGCGCGGCUCUGGGAUCGUCACCCGCCGACCCCUCGUCCUGCAGCUCAUCAACUGCCCCACAGAAUAUGCCGAGUUCCUCCACUGUAAGGGGAAGAAGUUCACAGACUUCGAUGAGGUGCGUCAGGAGAUCGAGGCGGAGACGGAUCGAGUCACAGGACAGAAUAAAGGCAUUUCUCCCGUGCCCAUCAACCUGCGCGUCUACUCCCCAAACGUGCUGAACCUGACUCUGGUGGAUCUGCCGGGGAUGACUAAAGUGCCGGUGGGAGAUCAGCCCGCAGACAUCGAGCAUCAGAUCAGAGACAUGCUGAUGCAGUUUGUGACCAAAGACAACUGUCUGCUGCUGGCCGUGUCGCCCGCCAACUCUGACCUGGCCAACUCUGACGCCCUGAAGAUCGCCAAAGAAGUCGACCCGCAGGGUCUGAGGACGAUCGGUGUGAUCACUAAGCUGGAUCUGAUGGAUGAAGGGACUGAUGCUCGUGAUAUCCUGGAGAACAAGCUGCUGCCGCUGCGGAGAGGUUACAUCGGUGUGGUGAACCGCAGUCAGAAAGACAUCGACGGGAAGAAGGAUAUUAACGCAGCUAUGGCGGCGGAGAGGAAGUUUUUCCUGUCUCAUCCCGGUUACAGACACCUGGCCGACCGCAUGGGAACGCCGUUCCUGCAGAAAACCCUCAACCAGCAACUGACCAAUCACAUCCGGGACACGCUCCCCGCGCUGCGCACCAAACUGCAGAGCCAGCUGCUGUCCAUCGAGAAGGAAGUGGAGGAAUACAAGAACUUCCGUCCUGACGAUCCGUCCCGGAAGACCAAAGCCCUGCUGCAGAUGGUGCAGCAGUUCUCGGUGGACUUCGAGAAGCGCAUCGAGGGCUCUGGAGAUCAGAUAGACACGUAUGAGCUGUCUGGAGGAGCCAGAAUCAACCGUAUCUUCCACGAGCGCUUCCCGUUCGAGCUGGUGAAGAUGGAGUUCAAUGAGAAGGAGCUGCGGAAGGAGAUCAGCUACGCCAUCAAGAACAUCCACGGCAUCAGAACUGGGCUCUUCACGCCGGACAUGGCCUUUGAGACCAUUGUGAAAAGGCAGAUUGGGAAGAUUAAAGAGCCGUGCCAGAAAUGUGUGGACAUGGUCAUUUCUGAGCUGGUCAAUACUGUUAGACAGUGUACCAAGAAGCUGGCCCAGUAUCCCAUGUUGAGAGAAGAGAUGGAGCGGAUCGUCACGCAGCACAUCCGCGACCGCGAGAGCCGCACUAAACAACAGGUGCUGCUGCUGAUCGACAUCGAGCUGGCGUACAUGAACACCAACCACGAGGACUUCAUCGGGUUUGCCAAUGCUCAACAGAGAAGCAGUCAGAUGAACAAGAAGAAAGCGGCUGGUAAUCAGGGCCAGGAUGAAAUCAUGGUGAUCAGGAAGGGAUGGCUGACCAUCAAUAACAUCGGCAUCAUGAAGGGCGGCGCUAAAGAGUACUGGUUUGUCCUGACGGCCGAAUCUCUGUCCUGGUACAAGGAUGACGAGGAGAAAGAGAAGAAGUACAUGCUGCAGGUGGACAAUCUGAAGUUCAGAGACGUGGAGAAGGGCUUCAUGUCCAGCAAACACAUCUUUGCCCUGUUCAACACCGAGCAAAGGAACGUGUAUAAGGACUACCGUCAGCUGGAGCUGGCCUGUGAGACCCAGGAGGAUGUGGACGGGUGGAAAGCGUCGUUCCUGCGCGCCGGCGUCUAUCCUGAGCGCGUGGUGGAGAAGGAAAAGAGCGACGCUGGAGACGAGAACGGGUCGGACAGCUUCAUGCACUCCAUGGACCCUCAGCUGGAGAGGCAGGUGGAGACCAUCCGAAACCUGGUGGACUCCUACAUGAGCAUCGUCAACAAGACCGUACGAGACCUGAUGCCCAAGACCAUCAUGCAUCUGAUGAUCAAUAAUACGAAGGAGUUCAUCAAUGCGGAGCUGCUGGCUCAGCUGUACUCGUGUGGAGAUCAGAACACGCUGAUGGAGGAGUCGGCUGAACAAGCGCAGCGGCGAGACGAGAUGCUACGCAUGUACCACGCGCUCAGAGAAGCACUCAACAUCAUCGGGGACAUCAGCACCACCACCAUCUCCACCUCUCUGCCUCCACCGGUGGACGACUCCUGGCUCCAGGUGCAGCGCAGCGGCUCAGGAGGAAGGUCUCCGGCGGCCAGCCCGACUCCUCAGAGACGGGCCCCUCCUCCGGGGCCUCCUGCACGCCCAGGCUCUCGUGGCUCCGCCCCAGGGCCCCCUGCAGCUGGAGGGCCACCGGUUCCCUCUCGCCCGGGAGCCUCUCCGGACCCCUUCGGCGGCCCCCCCCCUCAGGUCCCGUCCCGGCCUAACCGUGCUCCUCCCGGCGUGCCCAGAAUUACAAUCAGUGACCAAUGAGGACUAACGCUUCUGCCGACGACCCCCAGCAUCACCUCCUCGACCUUACCGACCCACAGACUCCUCCCUCUUAUACUAGUAGCCCCUCCCACACCCGUGACAGACAGCGAGGACAGACACGCCCACCCCGCCAGAACUCCUCCCCUCCUCUCUCCUCAACUCACACACAAACACACACACACAUCAUACACAGUUAAGCUCAACAACUCAUGAGCCUGACAACAAAAGCUAGAUGAAUGAGCACAGGGUUUGAUAAAUGCAUUUUCAGUUGCUAUAUUUAUUUUCUGUGGUUUUUAAGCUUCUUUUGGCUUUCAGACGCUUGAUUUCCUGCUGUUUAAGGAUGCAUUAUCUCUCCAAAGUGUGAUCUGGAGUCUCACGAUAACUGCAUCUUCUGGAAUGAGCUCGUGUGCAUCUGUAUUUCUGUUCAUUACUUUGGCUCUUCUUGUUUUUGUUUUGUAUGUGUGUUUGGCUGCAGUGGUCCCUGAGCUCACGGGCCAGAAGACGACACCAGACUCCCCGAAGGCCGGUCAACUACAGGUGACCCUUCUCGACCCGAGAGCCCCUUUACUCCACCAGACCCUUAGCAUCAUUUCUUCUUCUGUUUUCCCCACAACCCGAACACGGACACAAGCAAAGGAACAACUUUCAGAUGUUUCCUGCAUCACCCGGUUUGAGAAAUGAGUUUCUCUCUUUGGUUAAACCUCCUUCAAGCUCAUGAUUGUGGAGAUCCAGUAUCACAAACAUCAGACCUUCUAGAAACUCCUCACAUUGUGACCCUACAAAGGGAUCGUCUUUCCACACCUGUAUGAGUUUCUUUCUUCUGUGGAACACUAAAGAAAAUGUUUUGAAGAACUAAAUGGUCUCCAGGUCCAUUGACUUCCAUUGUAGGGACAAACAGUCCUGUUGGAAGUCAAUGGAGCUCAAAACUGUUUGGUUCCCAACAUUCUAAAAAAAAUAUUGAAGUUGUUUAUUCCCCACAUUGCAAAAAAAAGAAAAAAAAAGUAUUUUUUGUGUAAAAAGAUAUUUACUGGAAAACCAGACAAAAGUAUUGUUAUAGUUUUUGUUUUGUUUUGUUAUUUUACAGUGCAGAUGUAUAAGUACGAGGACGUGUGUUCACCUUCAGGUGAUUGUGCUCAGAAAACAUUCAUUCAUUAGUGAAUCUGAACCUUCGGUGGGGCUGGAUUGAAUUAGAGAGUGCAAUAUAUUCACCGGUCAGUCGUACAGUAUCACACUGACCACACCUUCAUGUCAUUUAAACACAAAUAGUGCAGUUUCAGGGUGAACAGACGUUCUCGAGUUCAGUGAGAUGCUUGUGCGUGUACAAUUCAUUUAAUAAGGUGAGACUAAUGCUGAAGACUGGUGAGCGUUGUCCAGAUGAUCAUGUCCAGAUGGUUUUGUUUGGAAUUGAACACCUGCUGUACAGUAUAUAGGCUACUGUGUAACAAACAGCAUGUGAAAGUGCACUAUUCGAUGCUAAACAGAAGUAUACAACAUUGCAUGUUUAAUUCAGCAAGCUGCGUCCAGUUAUUUUUUCCAUUUUUAAUUCUCAAAUCUGCACAUUUUUGGUCAUUAGGGUAUUCAUACAGAACAUCUGCAUACUGUGCAUAGUGUACAUACUAUAUUCUGCAGAAACAGUGACAGUAGGAUGAUAUUCUGAACAUGUGUAUGAUUAAAGGUGCUGUAAGCAAUGUUUAGUUUCCACCACGUCAAUCAAACCACUUUUUUGGCAAUCAAAAAUAGUUUAAAGCACCUUUAAACAUCACCGAUGGACAUCUUUUCACGUGUGCGUGGACUUUCCCCCGUGCAUUAGAAAUUAUGCAACGUUAUCUCAAGUCUAGGGUUCAUUAUGAAAAUCAAAAGAAAUGUUAAGCUUCAAUGCUGGUCUAUGCAUAGAAAUCACUUUAGUUCAGAUGUUGUUUUGUUGAAAGUGAGAAAAUAUGAGCGCAACCCUCCGUAACGGUGGACUGUAAUUCUGUUGUUUGUUGUAAUAUUAAUCAUAAUUAUAAAGAUGAUGAAGCCCGUUGCUAAUAGUUGACGUUGUGGCAUGACCAGACUGUCUGCGGUUUUAAUUGUACCGUAUCUGUAGUGUUUCCGUCCUCGACAUUCACUGCAAACCUUCCCUGAGUCUUAGUAAACCCACGAACCAGCAAAGGUUUCUGGAUGUUUAAGAGUUAAAGCGUUUGUCAUGGACUGACUGUAUCUUGAGUGUGGCGUAUAUUUGUGGUGCAUUGUGCUUCCACUGUUUAGACACUAGUCCAUGUGUGAUUACUGGAUGUUAAAUUAUUAUGGGUAAGCGAUGUAUUUAAAUUAAGCUAUUGAGAUGGAGUGUGUGGAGGAAUAAAGCAGGCCUCUUUCUGUGUUUGGACACAAAGGUGUAUUAAUGCUCUGUGUGUGUCGUGUCCUGCUGUGUCUCUGCUUGGGCAGGACGUCGUCAUCAAUAAAGAUCCGUGUACCAAAA